rnacentral:rRNA from 1 species
UACGGGGGGGGCAAGCGUUGUCCGGAUUCAUUGGGCGUAAAGAGCUCGUAGGCGGCUUGUCAAGUCGGGUGUGAAACCUCCAGGCUCAACCUGGAGACGCCACUCGAGACUGUCAUGGCUAGAGUCCGGUAGGGGAUCACGGAAUUCCUGGUGUAGCGGUGAAAUGCGCAGAUAUCAGGAGGAACACCGAUGGCGAAGGCAGCAUCCUGGACCGGCAUUGACGCUGAGUGAGCGAAAGCCAGGGGAGCAAACGGG